rnacentral:rRNA from 1 species
CUGGGUUCAGAACGUCGUGAGACAGUUCGGUCCCUAUCCUAUGCGGGCGCAGGAUACUUGAGAAGAGUCGCUUCUAGUACGAGAGGACCGAAGUGAACGUAUCUCUAGUGAAUCAAUUGUUACGCCAGUAGCAUUGUUGAGUAGCUAUAUACGGAUGUGAUAAGCGCUGAAAGCAUCUAAGUGCGAAGCACACUUCAAGAUGAGGUAUCCCGUCGCAAGACCUAAAGACUCCUAGGAGAUUACUAGGUUGAUAGGUUACAGAUGUAAGCAUAGUAAUAUGUUUAGUCGAGUAAUACUAAUAAGUCGUGCGACUUAGCCAUUAUUUUUU